GUGGCGACGGGUGAGUAACACGUGGGCAAUCUGCCCUUCACUCUGGGACAAGCCCUGGAAACGGGGUCUAAUACCGGAUAACACUCUGUCCCGCAUGGGACGGGGUUAAAAGCUCCGGCGGUGAAGGAUGAGCCCGCGGCCUAUCAGCUUGUUGGUGGGGUAAUGGCCUACCAAGGCGACGACGGGUAGCCGGCCUGAGAGGGCGACCGGCCACACUGGGACUGAGACACGGCCCAGACUCCUACGGGAGGCAGCAGUGGGGAAUAUUGCACAAUGGGCGAAAGCCUGAUGCAGCGACGCCGCGUGAGGGAUGACGGCCUUCGGGUUGUAAACCUCUUUCAGCAGGGAAGAAGCGAAAGUGACGGUACCUGCAGAAGAAGCGCCGGCUAACUACGUGCCAGCAGCCGCGGUAAUACGUAGGGCGCAAGCGUUGUCCGGAAUUAUUGGGCGUAAAGAGCUCGUAGGCGGCUUGUCACGUCGGAUGUGAAAGCCCGGGGCUUAACCCCGGGUCUGCAUUCGAUACGGGCUAGCUAGAGUGUGGUAGGGGAGAUCGGAAUUCCUGGUGUAGCGGUGAAAUGCGCAGAUAUCAGGAGGAACACCGGUGGCGAAGGCGGAUCUCUGGGCCAUUACUGACGCUGAGGAGCGAAAGCGUGGGGAGCGAACAGGAUUAGAUACCCUGGUAGUCCACGCCGUAAACGUUGGGAACUAGGUGUUGGCGACAUUCCACGUCGUCGGUGCCGCAGCUAACGCAUUAAGUUCCCCGCCUGGGGAGUACGGCCGCAAGGCUAAAACUCAAAGGAAUUGACGGGGCCCGCACAAGCAGCGGAGCAUGUGGCUUAAUUCGACGCAACGCG
rnacentral:rRNA from 1 species